CGUUACACUAAACCAUUAUCUUAUCAUAACCAUUUCGAUUCUUCAGAGAAAGAAACUGUUCGAUUUUUUAGAGAAAGAAAACUGAUAGAAAUUGUUCGAUACAAAACAAAUCCUACCAAACAAAUCUGAGAUCUUCGAUUACAUAUAAACCUGCAAAAUCUUUCAAUCAUAUAAACUUAACCAAAAUCAAAACCUAACCAAAAUCAAAUAUGAGUUCAAUCAACUCAAAAUCAUUCCAGUAAAACCAAAAAACAACUUCAAUAACCAUAUAUUUUGCCUAUGCUGAACCAAAACUCAGUUUCAAUUGAAGAACAAUGGUUGGAACAAGAAGACAAAGUUUAAGAAAGUCUAAAAACCAAACAGAAUCAACAUCUAAUAUCUCGCAAAAAUCUGCAGCAGAAAUUCAGAAAUCUCCAAAAGCAAUUUCAGUUAAACCCAUGGUUUGCUGAGCAUACUCAUUGUGUUAAACCAUUGGAGUUACCCGAAGGGAGCAACCUACCGAGAGUAGCCAGGUGGAACAUCAAAGAAAUUGCAAUGGAAUUUACAAAGGAUAUAAAGAUGGCUGAGUACCAGAUAAUAUCAUGGCCCUAAUUCUAAUUUAUAUUUGUGUUGUACUAUAUAUUAUAGAGGAGUGUAUGUAGACUAUACUGUUAAAAAAUGUGUAUUCUUGCUAUUAACAUUCACAAUUCUUAAAUAGUAUAUUUAUGGCUGUAGAGUAGUGCAUGUAGACUAUACUACUGGAUUGUGGCUGUAGAUUAGUGUGUGUGGACUAUACUACUGGAGUGUGUAUAUUCACAAUUCUUCCUCACAUGAUAAGUAUAAACUUACACUGAUUAAAAUGUAGUAUAGAAUAAUCUAUGUAUAUGUUCUAUGAGAGUGUAUGCAGCAUAUACUGACUAAAAUUGUAGAGUGUAUAGGUCCUGCAGUGAUAUAAAUGUUUGCUUUUAAAAUUCAUAAUUGUGUACGGGAUCUGAACUCAUAAGAAAUGCGUAUUAAUGUUUUGUGUUUCAGCUCUCGUCGAGUAUUCUUGAUAAGAUUACUGAAAUAGAGCAGAAAGCUUUAAAUGAAAUUGCGGAGAGGUUGCAACGCCAAUUAGAGGAAGUAAGAGUCCCAGAAGUAGAAUAAAUGGAUGUUGAUAAAGAAAUGGAUGGUGUCGAAGAAGUAGGAUUCAAAGAUGUGCCACGACCAAGAGAAUUGGAUGGUUAUGAAGAAGAAUUAUAUGAAGACUUGAGGCUCACCAUAUAUUUAAACUGGAUGGCAAUGGAGAGCAUAAAGGAAAUGGUGAUUCUGUAGAUCCAAGGAUGGAGAAAUUGAUGAAUGAAUUAUAUUAUAAAGAAUACCCAGAAAGGAAGCCUGACAAUAACACAAAAACAUCUCCAGGGGAUGACUCUGACUCUGACUCCGAAUCUGACUCUGAUGGAGGAAAACAACAUUCAGACAAAGAAUCUGAUGAAAAAUGGACAGGAGUGCUACUCUGGGUACUGAGUCAGUCGAAGUUCCAAGUGCAAGUACUCCGAAAGGCCAACAUACAACUCCUGGAGAAGAAGAAGCAAAAGAUGCGCCAUCAAAUGAUGAACAAGGGACAUGGAGCACAAGUAUGGAAGAGGCUGCUGCUCUGGACACUGACUCCAUCGAAGUUCCAAGUGCAACUACUCAAAUAGAUGAAGAUACAAGUCCUGACUGUGAAUAAGCCAUCAAAUUAUGUUAUUGAGCCUUCGCAAUAUAAAAUGUGGGCUUUAGGUGACUUGAACAAGAAGGUGGAUGAGCUGCAAGUUGAGAAGUGCUUAGAAAAUCCAACACUAGUAAGCUAAUACUCCUCUCGCCUAUAUUUGGAAAAUUUCUUGUUUGGUCCUAGGCACAUAUAGUUAUUUAUAGUAGGGUCCAACCGUUUUUUUUUUA